AUGAAAAGAAGUCAAAAAGAGACAAAUUAUUGUUAAUAAUUUAAGUGAAUAACUAUUCCUUUUCA
rnacentral:tRNA from 1 species